UACGGAGGGUGCAAGCGUUAUCCGGAUUCACUGGGUUUAAAGGGAGCGUAGUGGCUUUGUAAGUCAGUGGUGAAAUAUUGCGGCUCAACCGCAAAACUGCCAUUGAUACUGCUUAGCUUGAAUCACGUCGAGGUGGAUGGAAUAAUACAUGUAGCGGUGGAAAUGCUUAGAUAAUGUAUUAGAACACCGAUUGCGAAGGCAGCUCACUAGGCGGUGUAUUGACACUAGGCUCGAAAGCGUGGGGAAUCAACGGAGUUAGAAACC
rnacentral:rRNA from 1 species